CCUGGUAACAUCCCAGCCAGAGUGUGGCAGGAGGCGGUGCCCUGCAGCUCAGAAUGCUCCAGAUGCCCGGCCCAGAGGAGGGCCACCUAUGUGGACCCCAAGGCCCGUGGGCAGCUCUCAGAGCUGACAGGCCCCUUGGCAGUCCGGGCUUUGACCUUCCUGCAGGCCCAUCCGUGGACAGCUGUGUGGAGGAGCAGCGUGCAGCCAGCAGGAGCCUGGCUGUCUGGCUCUGGCUGCUUUGGCCUGAGCCUGUCAAACUACUGACUUCCCCGUGGGCACCUGGUGUUGUCCUGGCUUUGGUGAACAAUCCUGCCCUGAGAACGGCCACUGGGAGACAUGUGCUGACAGCUGUGAGGCGAGCUGCCCACGUGAGGAGGGGCCUCCGGCCUGCCGCAGCCUGUGCCAUGCGCGCUGCCGUGUGGCCCUGGCCACUCUUGUGGGGUGCGGCCUGCGGGCGCCGGGCUCUCCGUGGCUGUCCCAGCAAGGCUGUGUCCCGGCUCUAGCGGCUCAAGAGCUGAGCCCCUCUACUGUGAGCUGUAUCCUUCCACCAGAAGCUGCCGCAGCCGGUGUGUGUCCUUCCUUAUUACAGCUCAGCAGCCCGGGACUGAAGGUGCCUGUGACCCUGGAACAAGGGCUGCAAGUGCAGGUGGGAGGGCAGAAGGUAAGCCCGACUCUCAGCUCCGUCCAGGCCACUCCCUCAUCUUACCCUCAUCCAGUCAAGCCCAUGCUGCAUCCAUCCACCCACCUUUCCACCCAUUCACUGGUCCUUCCAACUCUGCCUCAUGAUCCCUCCAUUCCUCAGUUGAUCUACCCUCCAUCAAUCCAUCCCUUCAUUAAAACUCCCCUGCAUCAA
rnacentral:lncRNA from 1 species